CGAGCGGCUAUCAUAGUGACCUCUUCUUGCCCUCCACUGACAUCGAGUCAAAAAGCUUCCAGGUCUCAUCCCAUCAGUUACGCUUAGAAUACCCAUCAGUCAUAGACAGAAACUCCAUCUCUUGCAGGAAUUCCAUCAAACAAGUGUCAAGCAAAACCCAAACAACCACGCAGAUCAUAAAAACGAGCCAACCCAUCUUGAAACAACAUAGCAUAAACAUACCACAAUGAACUGAUUUCCCUCCUAAAACUCUAAAAAACUGCUCGCCGCACACUUUGAGCGCAAGAACAAAGCUCCUACAGUGCAUUUCAGCGCCAUUUUGAACCAUUUGGCAGAAAAACAAGAAGCCACUAUGGCCCAUUUUGGCUCCAGAGUAGCCUCUAAUCAUGGUAUUCCAAUUAUAAGUACUGGGGUUUUGUAUCUGCGAAAACAGAAGACGAGCAUGAUUUAUACCUGCAGUGUGAGAGAGGGCAAAAGGCCAAGGCAAGACAAAGCUUGGGGGUAGAUUAGCCAGACUAUAAAGGAGAAGGACUUAUUUGUACUUGUUCCAAGAUUGUGAGUCAAAAUAAUACCGCUUCUUUUCCUUCAAACGCAAUCUCGUCCUACGUUCCAGGGAAUCUUUUUACCUAAUCUCUUAAUAUAUAUGAAUGGCAUCUUUGCUUAAGCUCCUUCAAUUAUUGCUUUCGAAUAUUCUCAUGGUAUUGCUCUUUGUUUUUGAGGAUCCAAUUAAUAAGCAAAUCAUGGAGACUUGGCUGUUGACCUCAACACUCUCGUCUGCAUUGACCGAAGCAUUGACCUCUUCAAUCUCUUGGAUGUGAACCAGGCUUGGAAUAUUGGGUGUUCUUGUUCUUGAUACAUGUAAAGAGGUUUGGGCCAAUUUUGAUGCCUUGUGUGAAUCCCUCCAUCUGGGCUUAUCAAAAGAGGAGGAUGAAAGAAGCAUGUGCUCUAAGUCCGCCCAAAGUUUCAUCAAAUCCUGCGUUUUCUUGAGAUUUCUGCGAGGUUUUUGUUCGAAUAAGCAACAAGGUGCACGAUAUUGUUGAAGGGCAAAUUCUUCCAUGCAUGUCCAAAAUUCGAAGUCAUUUUCAAUUCAAGGUCCACAAUAUAUUUUUUAUAAUAUAAUCUCUAGAAUAACGCUCGAUCUCCGCAGCAUGCUCCGAGUAAUCGCUUUUGGAUUUCGAGUUCGACUGAUUUGAAAUGCUCGGUGUCUGUGUUGUGUGCAUGUAGCCCAAAGCAUAAAUAGUGUUUGUGUCAUCGACCGAGACCGUCGGCACUGUGGGCGUGCAAUGACGUUUCUACUCGGAGGAGGCUAUGUGAUUUCUUUUUGACGGGCAGCGGUUUCUUUUCUUUAUUCUUUAUUAAUUUUUCCCAAAGGGUUCCUAUUAAGAUAGAAAGGAUACAUAGUUUAGAAAGAAAAAAAAAACAUAUUUAUCCCUUAAUCACAUUUAUUUUUAUAUUUAUCUCUCUAACCCGAAA